GAGAGGGAGAUGCCCGGCCAGGGCUCCACCCAGCAUGACAACUGGACAAUUUUAAGCAUGUCAUUUCCCAAUUAUGAUUAAGGUCCUCUUAUGCUCAUAUUAAUAUAGAAACAUUUUAAGUGCUUCUGUUCUACUACCCAAUGGACUUAAAACUAUUUUGUCUAUGUCAUAUACGAUUAAAUUUUGCUGUCAGAGUGCACCAGAAUGACUCAUUUGACUUAAGAUCCCCAACUAUAUUCCCUCAAAAUUAUGUGAGAAACCAAUUUAGUUAACUCGUAGCACUAUGGAUUUGUUAGUCUCAAUUUAACUAUAUUAUAUUUGUCUUGUUGUUCACAGUAAUUGUAAUCAAGUGGAUCAAUAGCUGGAUUUGCUGCUGCGUGUAUUGUUUGUAGCAGAAGUAUGUUAGGCUGUCUGACCUAACAUUCGACGCUUUCAUGAAAGAAGUGUGCCUAAAAUUUAACAUACCAGAAGGCAGGCAGCCAGAUUUGAAGGUGUUUGACCAAUCCGACACAGAAGUUGAUGGAGAAGUCUUUGAAGAAAUAGUGAAGGAGUCACCGGGAACCUUCAAAGUCAUGUUGAGCAAAGAAGAACUUGAUGCCUCUCUAUCAUCAUCAUCAUCGUCAUGCUCAGCAGCAUCUGAAGAUACUAUCAUUCUGAACUUCACGACUUGUGACCCUCCUGAAGAAGCAGCUGCUGUCGAAGGAAGUCAGCCUAAAAAGCCAUGCCACAUUAAC